AAGUGGAGCAAUCCAUGAGUAGAGUGGCGAACGGGUGAGUAACACGUGGGUGACCUACCUUCGAAUGGGGGAUAACGUCCCGAAAGGGACGCUAAUACCGCAUAACAUCCUGUCCUUGAACGGAUGGUGAUCAAAGCCGGGGAUCGCAAGACCUGGCGUUUGAAGGGGGGCCCGCGUCCGAUUAGCUAGUUGGUGAGGUAACGGCUCACCAAGGCGACGAUCGGUAACCGGCCUGAGAGGGCGGACGGUCACACUGGGACUGAGACACGGCCCAGACUCCUACGGGAGGCAGCAGUGGGGAAUUGUUCACAAUGGGCGCAAGCCUGAUGACGCAACGCCGCGUGGAGGAUGAAGGUCUUCGGA
rnacentral:rRNA from 1 species